rnacentral:rRNA from 1 species
GAUGAACGCUGGCGGCGUGCCUAAUACAUGCAAGUCGAGCGAAUGGAUUAAGAGCUUGCUCUUAUGAAGUUAGCGGCGGACGGGUGAGUAACACGUGGGUAACCUGCCCAUAAGACUGGGAUAACUCCGGGAAACCGGGGCUAAUACCGGAUAUCAUUUUGAACCGCAUGGUUCGAAAUUGAAAGGCGGCUUCGGCUGUCACUUAUGGAUGUACCCGCGUCGCAUUAGCUAGUUGGUGAGGUAACGGCUCACCAAGGCAACGAUGCGUAGCCGACCUGAGAGGGUGAUCGGCCACACUGGGACUGAGACACGGCCCAGACUCCUACGGGAGGCAGCAGUAGGGAAUCUUCCGCAAUGGACGAAAGUCUGACGGAGCAACGCCGCGUGAGUGAUGAAGGCUUUCGGGUCGUAAAACUCUGUUGUUAGGGAAGAACAAGUGCUAGUUGAAUAAGCUGGCACCUUGACGGUACCUAACCAGAAAGCCACGGCUAACUACGUGCCAGCCGCCGCCGUAA